rnacentral:rRNA from 1 species
GGUUCGAUCAUGGUCAGGAUUGAACGCUGGCGGGAUGUUUACACAUGCAAGUCGAACGGCAGCACGGACUUGUCUGCGUGGCGAGUGGCGAACGGGCGGAGAAUAAUGAACGUGCCUAGUAGCGGGGGAUAACUACGCGAAAGCGUAGUUAAUACCGCAUACGCCCUUCGGGGGAAAGCGGGGGACCUUCGGCUCGCACCACAGAGCGGCCGAUAUCGGAUUAGCUAGUUGGUGGGGUAACGGCUCACCAUGACGAUCCGUAGCUGGUUUGAGAGGACGACCGGCCACACUGGGACUGAGACACGGCCCAGACUCUACGGAGGCAGGGAAUUUUGAGCACGGGGGAAACCCCAUCCAGCCAUCCCCGCGUGUGCGAUGAAGGCCUUCUGGUUGUAAAAGCACUUUUGGCAGGAAAGAAACGGCAUGGAUAAUACCCCGUGCAACUGACGGUACCUGCAGAAUAAGCACCGGCUAACUACGUGCCAGCAGCCGCGGUAAUACGUAGGGUGCAAGCGUUAAUCGGAAUUACUGGGCGCAAAGCGUGUGCAGGCGGACCGGAAAAAGAAAGAUGUGAAAUCCCAGAGCUUAACUUUGGAACUGCAUUUUUAACUACCGAGCUACAGAGGCGUCAGAGGAGGUGAAUUCCGCGUGUAGCAGUGAAAGGUGUAGAUAUGCGGAGGAACACCGAUGGCGAAGGCAGCCUCCCGGGAUAACACUGACGCUCAUGCACGAAAGCGUGGGGAGCAAACAGAUUGAUGACCUGGUAGUCCACGCCCUAAACGAUGUCAACUAGCUGUUGGGGCCUUCGGGCUCGGUAGCGCAGCUAACGCGGUGAAGUUGACCGCCUGGGGAGUACGGUCGCAAGAUUAAACUCAAAGGAAUUGACGGGGACCCGCACAAGCGGUGGAUGAUGUGGACGACUGGAUGCAACGCGAAAACCUACCUACCCUUGACAUGUCUGGAAUCCCAAAGAGAUUUGGGAGUGCCUGCAAGAGAACCGAACACAGGUGCUGCAUGGCUGUCGUCAGCUCGUGUCGUGAGAUGUUGGGUUAAGUCUCGCAACGAGCGCAACCCUUGUCAUUAGUUGCUACGAAAGGCACUCUAAUGAGACUGCUGGUGACAAACCGGAGGGAAGGUGAUGACGUCAAGUCCUCAUGGCCUCUUAUGGGUAGGGCUUCACACGUCAUACAAUGGUCGGGACAGAGGGUCGCCAACCCGCGAGGGGGAGCCAAUCCCAGAAACCCGGAUCGUAGUCCGGAUCGCAGUCUGCAACUCGACUGCGUGAAGUCGGAAUCGCUAGUAAUCGCGGAUCAGCAUGUCGCGGUGAAUACGUUCCCAUCUGAAGACACCGCCCAGUCACACUACGGGAGUGGUUUUACCAGAAGUAGUUAGCCUAACCGUAAGGAGGGCGAUUACCAGAUUCAUAAUUGUGUGAAGUCGUAACAAGGUAG